rnacentral:lncRNA from 1 species
UGGAAGGGGAGUGAGCAGACACACUCAGGAGGUGUCUUGAGAUUAUCAUCCGCUGAGGGUGGAGCUGAGGGUGGAAGGGGAGUGAGCAGACACUCGGGAGGUGUCUUGAGAUUAUCAUCCGCUGAGGGUGGAAGGGGAUAGAGCAGGCACUCGGCAGGUGUCUUGAGAUUAUCAUCCGCUGAGGGUGGAAGGGGAUAGAGCACACACUCGGAAGGUGUCUUGAGGCUCAGGGAGUUAUCAAUUAUAGAAUGUUGUUGAGUUGGAGGAGGUGGCUGGUGGCCCAUCCUGUUUUUUAAAGUU